GGGCUGAAGUAGGUCCCAAGGGUAUGGCUGUUCGCCAUUUAAAGUGGUACGCGAGCUGGGUUUAGAACGUCGUGAGACAGUUCGGUCCCUAUCUGCCGUGGGCGCUGGAGAAUUGAGGGGGGCUGCUCCUAGUACGAGAGGACCGGAGUGGACGCAUCACUGGUGUUCGGGUUGUCAUGCCAAUGGCACUGCCCGGUAGCUAAAUGCGGAAGAGAUAAGUGCUGAAAGCAUCUAAGCACGAAACUUGCCCCGAGAUGAGUUCUCCCUGACUCCUUGAGAGUCCUGAAGGAACGUUGAAGACGACGACGUUGAUAGGCCGGGUGUGUAAGCGCAGCGAUGCGUUGAGCUAACCGGUACUAAUGAACCGUGAGGCUUAACCUUACAACGCCGAAG
rnacentral:rRNA from 1 species